UCCAGACUCCUACGGGAGGCAGCAGUGGGGAAUAUUGGGCAAUGGGCGCAAGCCUGACCCAGCAACGCCGCGUGAAGGAAGAAGGCUUUCGGGUUGUAAACUUCUUUUCUAAGGGACGAAGAAAGUGACGGUACCUUAGGAAUAAGCUCCGGCUAACUACGUGCCAGCAGCCGCGGUAAUACGUAGGGAGCGAGCGUUAUCCGGAUUUACUGGGUGUAAAGGGCGUGUAGGCGGGAUGGCAAGUCAGGCGUGAAAACUAUGGGCUCAACCCAUAGCCUGCGUUUGAAACUGUCGUUCUUGAGUGAUGGAGAGGCAAGCGGAAUUCCGUGUGUAGCGGUGAAAUGCGUAGAUAUUAGGAGGAACACCAGUGGCGAAGGCGGCUUACUGGACAGUAACUGACGUUGAGGCUCGAAAGCGUGGGGAGCAAACAGGAUUAGAUACCCGCGUA
rnacentral:rRNA from 1 species